CGCGGUCCAGGCUCAGAAAUCUUGGAGGCCAGUGGGUCCAAGCUGGUGCAGAAAAGCUGCGUGCACAGGAGAAUGUGGUGUGGAGGAGCUGCGUGGAUGUGGCUUUGUUUUUCUAUUUCUUUCGGCCUGGCUCCGACUGGUCCUAAGUUCCUCGUCUCGGCUAUCUUCCUCACAUCCAGGCUCUGGAAUCCUCCUGCAUCCUUUCUCCCGUCUAGUUGCAGAAUAUUUCCAGGGUAUCUGAGCAUACUGAAACAUUACCAGAAACGUCAGUAAGUGCUGCACAGCAUCUAAACUGGAAAAAGUUCAGCAACGGGAAGACAGUGAAAGAAAAAGAAGACUUCUCAGCAAGAAAAGUGUAUCAGUAAUUUCCCUUAAGAUGUUCUUGUCCCAAAGAAGUGUUCCCAGAGGAAUGGGUCUGUAAAUGCAGUGGAGUUUGGGAAGGGCUUCAGUUAGCAUUGCCAUCCGUAGAGUACAUUCAUACUUGAGGAGAAAUCCCGUAUAUCAGUGUGUCCAGUGUGGCAAAGCUUCCUUCAGAGCUUUCACAUCAUACAGCACUAGAGUUCUCAUUGCCUAUAAAUGUACUGAGUUUGAGAAAAAGUUUGGCCACAUUCCACCCUCACUGAGCACUGGAGAAACCUGUACGUGUAAUGACAGGGACAGGUUUCAUUUGAGUCUCAGAUCUCAUCGUGUGUCAGAGAAACACCUAUUUUUCUGCCAGCUUUCAGCGAGAAGGAAACCUGGAACAUUAAAGGAAAUACUGAAGAGAGAAACUGCUGUCUGAGGCCGUUGAGAAGGAUAAUUGCAAGUGCUCUGCAGAUGUUGGUUAGUUUACCAGAAAAAAAAAAGAAGGGGCCAGUUUGAACCUCGGACUCUAGGUUCUGUUUGAGCUGAAGAAAUUGGUCAGCCAGGGGUAUCCCUCUGUCAGUAUCUCCUCCUCACAUCCCAUUACCACUGUUAUUUACUCAGCUUCCACUGCUUGGCCCAAACAUCUCCCCUGUCACUUUCUCAGGGUCUCACACUCUUUUUUUUUGGCUGUGUGGCACGUGGGAUCUUAGUUCCCCUACCAGGAAUAGGACCUGGCCCCUCCAUUGGAAGUGCAGAGUCUUCACCACUGGACGCCCGGGAAGCCCCAUGCUCUCUUUUCUGUGUGCUCAUAUCUGCACGGACUUACAUUUGUGAUUAUAGUAUUAUGAUCUCUGCUUUCUUUGAUCUCUGGUUCUUUUACCUCUCUCUUUUGAUCAACUCCUUUGUUUUCUUGUCGUGGAGUCAGGAGCUGGAAUUUAGAUUCUUUAUUGCUAUGUAGAGAGUUCCCCUCUAUGCAUUUCAUAUUCAUCUGAAAAAUGAAAGUAUUGGAUUUGUUAAAGCUGAAGUCACCCCUAGCUCUUUUUAAACCGGGGUUAAGCUUUACUGCCUCCCUUAUACUGGGAAUUCCCUGGGUUUACACACUGUCUUCCCAGGUGACUCAUAGACUUAUUUGAGGAAAAGGUUGGGAAAAGGCACUGUAUAGUAGAAGGGAAAGCAAGUAAGGAAGAACAAUUUUACUCUAAAGGGGAGAUGGUACUUCUUGAAUUAGUUUUAUUUUAAAAUAGGUCUUACAAAGUCUAACCUGAUUUUUCCCUUUUGCAUCUGGAUUUAUUUUGUCUUCUCUUCUUUGAGACCCCAGGAUUCUUUCUAGGCACCCUGAA